AUGUAUAUAUGCAUCUAUGCAAAUAUAUAUAUAUAUGUAUGUAUGUUUAUAUAUACCAAUAUAUGUAUCAAUCUAUAUAUACAUGCGUAUAUAUAUAUAUGUGAGUGUAAAUCUAUGUGUACAUAUAUAUAUAUAUAUAUAUAUAUAUAUAUAUAUAUAUAUGUAUGUAUAUAUAUGAUUAUAUAUAUAUAUAUGUGUACAUAUAAAUAUUUCUAUAGAUGUUCAUAUGUGCGUAUAUGUCUAAAUACAUAUAUAUAUAUAUAUAUGCAUAUAUAUAUAUAUAUAUAUAUAUAUAUAUAUAUAUAUAUAUAUAUAUAUAUAUAUGUAUAUAUAUAUAUAUAUAUAUGUAUAUGCAUAUAUACACAUAUGUAUCUAUGUAUACGCAUAUACAAAUGUAUAUACGCAUAUACAUAUACAUAAGUAUAUGUAUAUUUGCAUACGUAUAUGUAUGUAUAUGUGUAUAUAUAUAAAUAUAUAUGUAUACAUAUACACAUAUACAUAUAUGUACAUAUGUAUAUACAUAUGUAUAUGUAUAAGUAUAUAUGUAUAUAUAUAUAUAUAUGCAAGUGUAUAUGUGUAGUAUGUAGAAAUAUGAAUAUAUAUAUAUAUAUAUAUAUAUAUAUAUAUAUGUAUAUAUAUAUAAACAUAAAUAUAUAGAUGUAUACAGAAAUAUACGUAUGUGUAUAUAUGUAUACGCAUAAACAUAUAUGUGUACAUAUAUACUCUUUUACUCUUUUACUUGUUUCAGUCCUAUGACUGCGGCCAUGCUGGGGCACCGCCUUUAGUCGAGCAACUCGACCCCGGGACUUAUUCUUUUGUAAGCCCAGUACUUAUUCUAUCGGUCUCUUUUGCCGAACCGUUAAGUUACAGGGACGUAAACACACCAGCAUCGGUUGUCAAGCAAUGCUAGGGGGACAAACACAGAUACACAAACACACACAUAUAUAUAUAUACAUAUAAACGACGGGCUUCUUUCAGUUUCCGUCUACCAAACCCACUCACAAGAAUUUGGUCGGCCCGAGGCUAUAGAACAAGACACCUGACCAAGGUGCCACGCAGUGGGACUGAACCCGGAACCAUGUGCCUGGUUAACAAGCUACUUACCACACAGCUACUCCUGCGCCUAUAUGUAUAUAUAUAUAUAAUACAUGUAUAUAUAUAUGUAUAUAUACACCUGCAUUUAUGUGUUUAUAUAUAUAUAUAUAUAUAUAUAUAUAUAUAUAUAUAUAUAUAUAUAUAUAUGUAUAUAUACAGUGGAAGCACUCCGUCGGUUACGACGACGAGGGUUCCGGUUGAUCCGAUCAACGGAACAGCCUGCUCGUGAAAUUAACGUGUAAGUGGCUGAGCACUCCACAGACACGUGUACCCUUAACGUAGUUCUCGGGGAUAUUCAGCGUGACACAGAGAGUGACAAGGCCGGCCCUUUGAAAUAUAUAUAAAUGUAUAUAUAUAAUGUAUAUAUAUAAAUAUAUAAACAUACCACACAUGCAUAUAUAUUUGUAUGUAUAUACAUACACAUAUAUAUGUAUAUAUAUGAACACACACAUAUACAUAUUUGUAUAUGUCUAAAUAUAUACACACAUAUAGAUAUAUAUAUUAAUAUAUAUAUAUCCGUGCACAUAUGCAUGUAUCCGUGUAUAUAUAUAUAUAUAUAUAUAUAUAUAUAUAUGUAUGUAUAUGUAUAGAUAUAUAGAGAGAUAGAUAGAUAUAAAGAUAUAUAUUUAUAUGUACAUAUACCAAUAUAUAGUUAUAGAUAUCCAUGUGUAUGUAUGUAAAUAUACAAAUGAUAUAUGUGUAUACAAAACCUAACUUUAACCCUAACCUUAAUAUAUACAUAUAUUAUAUAUAUUUAUAAUAUAUAUAUAUAAUAAACUCCAUGUCCCCCUACAUGGCCUUGCUUUUUGCCUUUUGAGCCAAAAAAGUAUUUUAACUUAACUAUAUAGACAUAUAUAUAUAUAUAUAUAUAUAUAUAUAUAUAUAUAUAUAUAUAUACACGUUUGUGUGUAUCUAUCUAUAUGUAAGUAUGUAUGAUUAUGCAUAUCCUUGUAUAGUAAAAGUUUAUUACAUACAUAUACACACAUAUAGCACACACACAGACACACUCACCCACACACAUAUAUAUAUAUAUAUAUAUAUAUUAUGUGUGUCUGCAUAUAUAUGCAUAGCUCUCUAUCUCUCUAUGUAUCCAUAUAGCUAUUUAUCUAACUAUCUAUCAGAUGAUAGUUAGAUGGAUAUAUAGAUUGGUUGGUCGAUAGAUAGAUAGAUGGCAUAUGUAAAUGUAUAGUUCACAGUUCGUAAAAUUAUGACGGUAUAAUACAAGACAUUGUAAUUGUAACAUAAUUAUAUUUUCACCUUUGUGCAUAUUUUUCAUCUGGAAAACGAUUAUAUUCAUAUUUUAUAUCAGCAGCACCUGUAUGUAUGUAAAUGUGACGUGAGGAUUAUGGUUUAGAAUAUGAAAACAUUAAAGUACGCUCUGCGGUAUCUUUAGUUAAUUCUGACG
rnacentral:lncRNA from 1 species